rnacentral:rRNA from 1 species
UAAGGAAUAUUCCACAAUGGGCGCAAGCCUGAUGGAGCAACGCCGCGUGCAUGAUGAAGCCCUUCGGGGUGUAAAAUGCUUUUCUCAGGGAUGAUUCCAGACAGUACCUGAGGAAUAAGUCUCGGCUAACUACGUGCCAGCAGCCGCGGUAAUACGUAGGAGACGAGCGUUGUCCGGAAUUACUGGGCGUAAAGCGCGUGUAGGCGGAUGAGCAAGUCUGCUGUGAAAGCUCCUGGCUUAACCGGGAGUGGUCGGUGGAAACUGCUCGUCUGGAGGACGGUAGAGGUAGGUAGAAUUCCCGGUGUAGUGGUGAAAUGCGUAGAGAUCGGGAGGAAUACCUGUGGCGAAGGCGGCCUACUGGGCCGGACCUGACGCUGAGACGCGAAGGCGUGGGGAGCGAACGG